rnacentral:pre_miRNA from 1 species
AGUAAGACAUCAGCUAUAAGCUAGUUUUUCAGCUUUCAGCUAGCUUAUAGCUUAUUUUUACC